rnacentral:lncRNA from 1 species
CAUCGAAACAAUUGACACGCGAAACCGCGAUGCGAAUUGCCUCUAUUAAGUUUUUUUCAAUGUUCCAAAGCUUGCUGCGAUGCCUAUCAGAACAGAUUUUCGCCAAGCUAAUUUCCACAAAUUUUGAAAGAUUUUAGAUCUCCAUUUUCAGUUUUCACUGCUAUCCCUGCUAUCCGGGCACCCCUAAAAGGCGAAAGCGAAACGCGAAACGAACAGCGACUAAAACGCGGAAGGCGGAACGCUGUGCGAAACAACCCCCAUGCAAUGGGCUGCGAAUCACUCAAAUAUCGCCUAAAGGCAACCUAAAUAGCGAAACGAUUUUGCGAAACCCUUAUUUGAAAUGCCAUUGAAUUUGGCAUUUCAUUUAGAGAAAUAAGAACCGUGUGCUAUUCUUUUUUGAGAACAUGUAAGAAGUUCCCCAAACAACUGUUGUUUAAUAAAAAAGAUUGCCUACUAGAUAUGUGAUAAAAUGUGUGUCUGUGUCAUAAAAAAUUUGAAAAAAGAAGGUAGGGAUGAUAAAAAAUUACGUAUUUGGCUUUGCAUAUUUAUGUCACUAAUAACUUAAUACAUUUUAUUUUCUGUUAUCUGGUUCAAGAAAUGUUUGCGUGUUGUAGAGGAAAAUUUUUUUUUGCUCUCGCUUCCGGUUAUAGGCUUAUACUUUGCUGAGCUUUUUCAUUAUCGACGAGGCUUAGUUAUCUUGCUGCGAUAGCAGUGCUGACCAUCGACAGUUGUAUCAUGUGCCAUAUUCAUUCAUGGUAGGUCUACGCCUAUCUUUACAUGAUUUAAACUGCAUUUCGACGUUGAUAAAUAAUUCCAUGAUUGCCAUGUAAACGCUUUGUUUAGCGGUUGUAUCGAGUAAGCCUGUAUAUCGUUUGCUGGAACCCACAAAAAAGUGACUUCCAGAUAGGCAAAUGACUGACAUUAGUACAAUACAUUCUAGUCUACCUAGAUAUAAAAAGGGAGACUAAAAUUUGCUGUGCAUUUUAUUUUGUUUCUUAUACCAAGCGCGUCGUAAAGGACGAGCGUUAAAUUUGAGAGUCCGCAAGUUCUUGGGAUCUUUUGUUCGCUUGCUCAUAUAGACGUUAUCAACGGUUUUUCAUGUCCGGUUCAACAUUUUGACAAGAAGAAUAGCUUGGAACUGUAAAGGGGAUUUUUUUCUUUCUAUUUCCAGUUCCCUUUUUCAGCACAACUUAACUUUCCGUUUUUUUUUUUUUUCAUUUUUCGUAUUCUAUAUGAACACGGUUAAACCUCAGGCUCAUCUCUGUGAGUCUUUUUGCUUAAGAGAAGGGAAAAGGACAGCUUAAGUAAUCGUUUGCCACUUCCGGCAUGUUGAAAUCGGAUAUCUCAUUUGAUUUCGUUAUCACCAGAGUGGCUGCGCAAAUAGCAGUACGAAGUGCGCAUAGGGAUCUUUCUCGACCGGAGAGACCUUUACCAGAUUCAACGGUCAUGACCUCAAAGAGAGGGAGAGAAUGUUGUUAUCUGGGUAGAUCUGGUUUCUCAUUUUCAAGAGAUCGUUUAUAUAGGGCGUCUUUUGUGAAGAGGCCUUUUAGCCGCGCAGCUCAAUUGAGCAUCAGGUUGCUGCUGCCGUGAGAGUGAAAAGGCGUGUACUCGACGAACGAAAUGAAAAGGACGAGCUUCUAUUUCCCUCUUGCUCCUCUAGGGCUAACAUUUUUUUUCUUCUUCUGUUGGGUGGGUUGAGAAUUCACUGCUGCUAAAGACACUUUGAAACAUUUCGUAUCAUCUGCGUUUUUUAUUUUACCCAUGGUUAGUCGUUCGCGAUUAUGUUUAACAUCGGCAACCAUGCUCAUUUGUUGUUGUUUUAUUCUUAUAUUAUAGCUUAAUAGUUUACUUGAUGUAUAUUUAAGAUAUCAAACAUCUUUAGUAAUUCAAAGGGACUGCAAUAAUGGGGGAGGUAUGUUUUGGAUAUAGAAACAUCUAGAGAUCAGGUAACGCCCUUUUAUUUAAUGGGGAAAAAAAGAUAAGGUGUAUACGGUUAUAUUCCUUAAGACGGUUUCAGCUGACUUGAUGGUGGAGCUGAAGUUUUGAGCGUAAAGUAGGAAAUGAAAAUGGAUGCAAGCAUUUCAGACGCUAUGAUCGCUCUCUUCCGCUUUUUGGCGAACGUUGUCCAGAAGGUCGGGGUUCGCCCCAAAGACCGAGGAGGAUUGCAAUCUUAUCGUAAAUUAAAUAGGGUAAUAAUGCAAAUCAAAUUAUUUAUGCGAUUGUAUAUUUCCGCUUUUUAUAUACAUUGCCUAGAACAACUACACAUCACGAGGAAUGAGCCAGGGAAUGACUUUGUCUUUUGUGAAAAGAAGAAAUAAAAAUAACAUUGGGGCAGUAAUAAAUACAACUUUGUUAUUUGAUAAGUACGAGAAGGAUGACACGUGACUAUUUUCAUAGUAAUAUUGGAAAUAGACGGAAUGUCACACGAUUGGAUGAAAAUAGAGAAUGAAAUGUGAUCAUCAUACGGACUAACUCCCCGCCGACGUAUAAUUUCGGGUGCAUAGUGAUACUGAGUGGGAGAGGAGACUAAGGAACUGCAUGAGCUACCAGGUGGAGAGGUGCUGGUAGCAAGGAAACCGCAUGUCCACAGUUAUCAGCCAUUGAAUCUGGUGACCCAUGAGGAAUGGACUUGAAACCGCAAGUCCAGCGAGUUGAUGCAAUAUCAGUCCUAAGCGCAUUUACUGGGGAAGGAUUCGGUGUUGACGUAAAUUCAAA